rnacentral:lncRNA from 10 species
UGCUUUGCAGUCACGAAGUCCUGGAUUUCCAUCCCGGCUCUGCCAUUUUCCAGCUAUGUGACCUUGGGCAAGUCACUUUACCUCUGAACCAUAAUAAUAAUAAUGCAUUUUUUGAGAUUUACUGUGUCAAGCACCGUAAUAAGUUCUCUAUAAGCCUCUCGUUUCAUCCUCACCACCUGUAAGGGAACUGUGAUGACCCAGGUAUAGAAGUGGGUAGGUGGAUGCGGUGACAGGGGCAGCACAUAAAACCUGGAUGCUUCUCCUCUGGUCCCCUGCUACCCACUGAAGGUAAGAGAGGAGGCCCAGGCAUUUAGGGAAUCAGAGGCUAGGACAGGGGACCCAGGAGGAACUAGAUUCUAGACUCGGGAAUGUGAGGUCAUAGAGUAAUAUGAGUUUAGAGGAACAGAUCUUCCAAUCUGGAGGAUCUUCAUCUGGGUGGCAGACACGGGCUUUUAGGAAAAUCCGUUAACUACCCCCCACUUGCCAUCAAUGGUACCAAACAUGACAUACAAUACAUAUCUAUGUAUGUAUGUCACAUAGCUCAAACUUAGCACUAUUGGCACUUGGGGCUGUCGUGUGCAUUGUAGGAUGUUUAGCAGCGUCCCUGACCCCUACCCACUGGAUGCCAGUAGCACCUCCCCCUGCCAGUUGUGACAACCAGAAAUGUUACCAAACAUUGCCAAAUGUACCCUGGGUGAGUGGGAGGGGCAGACUCACCCCCAGCUACUGGUAUAUGUUGAUUUUUCUAUGUAAAGGGUCUAAAACUUUUAUCAGAUACUCAAACCAUUGUUGAUGAUCUUCAGACCUUUUAAAGACCAUUUACUCAACACAUUCUAGUUGAGUUUUUCUAGGCCAAUCAUUAUGCUAAGAAUUGGGAAUACAAGUAGUGACCAAGAUAGCCUUUGUCUCAUUGUUCAUGGAUCUGAGAGUUCAGCAUGGGGAGAAAUUGAAUGAAUAAUUAAUUACCAGAGAAUCAGGCAUCAAGAAAGGAAAGUGGAUUUAUGUAUUCCAAUUACCCUCAUCAUGCAAUGAGGAAACUGAGGCUCAGAGUGGUCACAGAGCAAGAGCCUGCACUCUGGAGCCAGGCUGCCUAAGUUCAAAUCUCAGCUCUGCCACUGACUUGCUGUGUGACAAGGGCAA